GACGAACGCUGGCGGCGUGCUUAACACAUGCAAGUCGAACGGAAAGGCCCCAGCUUGCUGGGGUACUCGACUUGCGAACGGGUGAGUAACACGUGGGUUAGGUGCCCUGCACUCUGGGAUAAGCUUGUGAAACUUGGUCUAAUACCGGAUAGGACCGUGCUCUAUUGUGUGCGGUGGAAAUGUUUUCGGUGCAGGGUGAGCCCGCGGCCUAUCAGCUUGUUGGUGGGGUAAUGGCCUACCAAGGCGGCGACGGGCAGCGGGCCUGAGAGGGUGUACUGCCACAUUGGGACUGAGCCACGGCCCAGCCUCCUCCGCGAGGCAGCAGUGGGGAAUAUUGCACAAUGGGAGGAACCAUGAUGCAGUGCAGCCGCGUGGGGGAUGACAGCAUUCGGGUUGUGUUCCACUUUCCGCAGGCACGAAGCUUUUGUGACGGUACCUGCAGAAGAAGCACCGGCUAACUACGUG
rnacentral:rRNA from 1 species